CCUGUGUGUUCUAAUGCUUUUGUUUGGGUCCCAGGGGAAAUACAGGACUACCCAUAGAGCACGGUGCCAAUGACUUGUAACUCAUGUGAUAUUCCUACUCCUUAAAGGGACAUUCCAGAUCCAAAAAGCACUUCAACUUGCUGAAAAGCUUUAUGUGUGAAGACUGUGUCCUUUUUUUAAUUUUACAAAUAGUGAAGAUUUCAAUAAAAAUUGGUGGUUUUAUAAAUAAACCUUGUUUCAC